CUGCUCAGGACGAACGCUGGCGGCGUGCAUAAUACAUGCAAGUCGAACGCUUCUUUCCUCCCGAGUGCUUGCACUCAAUUGGAAAGAGGAGUGGCGGACGGGUGAGUAACACGUGGGUAACCUACCCAUCAGAGGGGGAUAACACUUGGAAACAGGUGCUAAUACCGCAUAACAGUUUAUGCCGCAUGGCAUAAGAGUGAAAGGCGCUUUCGGGUGUCGCUGAUGGAUGGACCCGCGGUGCAUUAGCUAGUUGGUGAGGUAACGGCUCACCAAGGCCACGAUGCAUAGCCGACCUGAGAGGGUGAUCGGCCACACUGGGACUGAGACACGGCCCAGACUCCUACGGGAGGCAGCAGUAGGGAAUCUUCGGCAAUGGACGAAAGUCUGACCGAGCAACGCCGCGUGAGUGAAGAAGGUUUUCGGAUCGUAAAACUCUGUUGUUAGAGAAGAACAAGGACGUUAGUAACUGAACGUCCCCUGACGGUAUCUAACCAGAAAGCCACGGCUAACUACGUGCCAGCAGCCGCGGUAAUACGUAGGUGGCAAGCGUUGUCCGGAUUUAUUGGGCGUAAAGCGAGCGCAGGCGGUUUCUUAAGUCUGAUGUGAAAGCCCCCGGCUCAACCGGGGAGGGUCAUUGGAAACUGGGAGACUUGAGUGCAGAAGAGGAGAGUGGAAUUCCAUGUGUAGCGGUGAAAUGCGUAGAUAUAUGGAGGAACACCAGUGGCGAAGGCGGCUCUCUGGUCUGUAACUGACGCUGAGGCUCGAAAGCGUGGGGAGCAAACAGGAUUAGAUACCCUGGUAGUCCACGCCGUAAACGAUGAGUGCUAAGUGUUGGAGGGUUUCCGCCCUUACAGUGCUGCAGCAAACGCAUUAAGCACUCCGCCUGGGGAGUACGACCGCAAGGUUGAAACUCAAAGGAAUUGACGGGGGCCCGCACAAGCGGUGGAGC
rnacentral:rRNA from 1 species